GGCGUGCUACUACUGCUAGUCGAGCGAACACUUCGGUGGUUAGCGGCGGACGGGUGAGUAACACGUGUACCUGCCUGUAAGACUGGGAUAACUUCGAGGAAACCGGAGCUAAUACCUGGAUAAUCCUUUUCCUCACAUGACGUGAAAAGCUGAAAGUCGGUUUCGGCUGACACUUACAGAUGGGCCCGCGUGCGCAUUAGCUAGUUGGUGAGGUAACGGCUCACCAAGGCGACGAUGCGUAGCCGACCUGAGAGGGUGAUCGGCCACACUGGGACUGAGACACGGCCCAGACUCCUACGGGAGGCAGCCGUAGUGGAAUCUUCCACAAUGGGCGAAAGCCUGAUCCAGCAAUGCCGCGUGAGUGAUGAAGGCCUUAGGGUUGUAAAGCUCUUUUACCCGGUGAUGAUAAUGACAGUACCGGGAGAAUAAGCCCCGGCUAACUCCGAUGCCAGCAGCCGCGGUAAUACGGAGGGGGCUAGCGUUGUACGGAAUUACUGGGCGUAAAGCGCACGUAAGCGGCUUAGUAAAGUAAGAGGUGAAAG
rnacentral:rRNA from 1 species